GCAGGAAUGCCCGAGUGGCCAAAGGGAGCAGACUGUAAAUCUGCCGGCGUUUGCCUACGGUGGUUCGAAUCCAUCUUCCUGCA
rnacentral:tRNA from 1 species